rnacentral:rRNA from 1 species
CCUACGGGAGGCAGCAGUGAGGAAUAUUGGUCAAUGGGCGCGAGCCUGAACCAGCCAAGUAGCGUGAAGGAUGACUGCCCUACGGGUUGUAAACUUCUUUUAUAAAGGAAUAAAGUGAGGCACGUGUGCCUUUUUGUAUGUAUUUUAUGAAUAAGGAUCGGCUAACUCCGUGCCAGCAGCCGCGGUAAUACGGAGGAUGCGAGCGUUAUCCGGAUUUAUUGGGUUUAAAGGGUGCGCAGGCGGAUUUUUAAGUCAGCGGUCAAAUCGUGGGGCUCAACCCCAUCCAGCCGUUGAAACUGGAGUGUGUGAGAGGAUAGUGGAAUUCCAGGUGUAGGAGUGAAAUCCGUAGAUAUCUGGAGGAACAUCAGUGGCGAAGGCGACUAUCUGGCACAUAACUGACGCUGAGGAGCGAAAGCGUGGGUAGCAAACAGGAUUAGAUACCCCAGUAGUC